AAAUUAUUAAAUCUGUUCUUAUCAGUUUAAUCUCUGACAUGUUCUCUAUCUGAGAACUCAAUUGAAGGGAUUUUUGGAACAGGGAUCUGGAACAGAGGCUUGCUCCAUCCACUCCACGCAUCAGCCUGGUAUUGCAGUCCUGCUGGGUAUGGUGCACCUCCC
rnacentral:snRNA from 1 species